rnacentral:lncRNA from 1 species
CCAGCUAAGCCAAGAAGAAGAGGAAAAUCUCCUUGAUGUGUUGAGGAAGCAUAAAGAAGCAAUUGGGUGGACCUUGGAGGACAUAAAAGGCACCUCAAGACCAUUCGGUGGAGGCUCAUCUCACCAGAAUCAAAGACAGAAUGCAAAGGAUGGAGCACCUAUUGGACCUGCUGGUGGACCAUUUUCUGCCCCAGCACCGUGACAGAUAGCGAUUUGCCCAGUGAUUUGCCCAGUGCUUGCCCAAAUCACUGGCCAAAUCACCCACAGGCCAAGAAGUCCCUUUCCCUUUCUUUCCUUAAUUUUUUUUUAUAUAUGCUUACACAUUGAGGACAAUGUUUGUCAUAGGUGUGGGGGUAUUACUAGGUUAUUUUUUGCAUUGAUUUACAUUGAUUCCAUCAUCUUUUGCUUUCUACUUGUGUCUUUUUGUUUCUUUUUGCAUCUUUUUGCCCCAUGACAUACACCACACAUUUUUUUUCUUGGCACACAUUUUUUCUUGCACACACACACAGAAUUUUGUCUUAGCUUUUGCUCUACUCAACAUAGAUAACAAGGUUAAAAGAGUUUCCUUAUCUCAUGACCCCAUUGAUUUGCCACCCCUUUAAGCUUAAAUUGAAUCAUUCACAGUAUGUUACCUUCACUUAGGGAGUUGUUCUCUUGAAUUGAAUCCUCAAAUUUGCUAAGGUCAAGGGAAAUAAAAAUACAAAUACAUGCAAACACAAAGUUAGUGUAACUCCCUAUGAGCUGAUUUGCCCAAACUAUCAUAAAAAACCAGCAUAAAGCACAAAUCAUAAACUUGUUCCAAUGGUUUAAGACUAUGAACUGAG